rnacentral:lncRNA from 1 species
GAUUUGCGACAUGUACCCAGAGUAACUCCAAUAAAUUCAAGUGUUGUACGAGCUCUCAAUACAUUUUUCAACUACUGAACGACCUCGGUUUCGACCAGCUGGCUCCGGGACUACUCCUUGUCAUUCGGAGCCUUCUUCACCAAUGAAAAAAGAAACCAUCACCUUUCAUUUUUCCAGGAGACUCGUCCUCAGCCUUUCACCAACCUAUCUUUUCAAAAAGAUGGAUCGAAUGAUCAGUGAGCGAACUCAGGUAAUUGCUGAAAACCGAUGACUUACAAAAACAGGGUUUUAACUUAGGAUCCAACAAUCUAGUGCCUCCUCAAAGUCCUUUGCGAGUAAUUUCUUCGACCUGGGAGCCUCCAGAUUCGCCACUGACGGUGAAAACGCAAGAAGACCAUGAAGUCGAGUCCACUUUCUUGGCUCAAGCUCAUUCCUCCAGUAUCAAUCGAAAAGAGUGCGAUAGUGUACUGAUAGAUUAUGUGCACCACCCAGGACAUACAGAACCAAUAGAUGAUCUUGAGGACUGCGCAAGCUCACCAUGUUCCUCAGGAGGAUUGCAUAUGCCUAGUAGCCGAUCUCUAAUGGAUUUUCAAAGGCAACUUCAAAGAAUACGGUAUUACAGUCAGAGCAAUGCCUAUCCUCCUCAAUUAAGCUCUCUCGGUGUCAGUUCCAGUACCAGUCCUCAGGAUGGGGUUGCAUUUUCUCCCUCAAACAGGAUGCGGAAAGUUAAGUCCUGGCCAGUUUUGGAGAAACCUAGUUUUGGGGAUGCUGACGUAUCUUCAAAGUCUGGAAAAUAUAAAGAAAAAUCGGACUGGAAAAAGAAAGAGUGUGGAACAGUGAAAAAGUCCAUGCGAGAAAUGGAAACUCAGACCGAUCAGAUGCUGGACCAGCAGAUGCCUUAUGAACACUUAUUCGUCAAUGCCUUUCCCAUGACUUUUGAUCCGCCGCCUCCAUCGCCAAUCAGAGCUCAAGAUAAUAUUUUGGCACUGGAGCCCAGUUUGGGAUUCCGUGCAAGUGAUACUGCAUUGAACAAAGAGCCCAAGUUUCCCAUAAAUGUGAUACAAAACAAUUCAUCAAAGCUGUCCUACAGUGUCAUGACCCCAAGCAUAACAACCUCUCAGGUAAUGUUUUGAGUUCAUCUUACCAGCAAUGGCCGGCAAAGCCUCCUCCUUCUGUGUUUCUUUGACCUCAUUGUUUCUCUCAAGCGAACAUUACAAUAAGGCGAGGAGAGCUGAAAAUGGGCACGGCUGAAUCAUGGUGGAUAGGAGAAAAAACUGACGGAAAAAAGCGGUUUGACAUUCAUUUAAAGAUAACAGGGUUGCCACAGUCAAUUUUUCACAGUCAGUUGAAUUUUAAGAAGUCAAUGAAAACGUGGAAAUGUCAGGGAAAAUGAUGAAAGUGUCAUGGAAAAAUUGUUAAUCACUUUAAUUUGCUUUUUAAAAUGGGUUCGAUGUUUCAAAAACAAAUCUUGCUUAAAAUCUAUUUCAAAUUAUUUCUUUGAGCCAUCUAGAAUAUCCUCAAUUGUCAGGGAAUUUUACUCAAAUGGUCUGGGAGUAGCAGGGAAUUUUCAUUUUCUUAAUUUUGUGGCGACGUGAAGAUACUAAAUAUGGUAAGGCUUUGUAGACAAAGCGGUCAAAUCUGAAAAUGCCUGAACCGUGGAGGCUAAAACAGAAUCGACUAAUGUGAGAAGGAGAAGGUAGCAUAUCGACGGUGUAAGUCAGCAAUCACACAACUCGUUUGCGGUGUCUGAAAAAUCUCGCCUCUAUGUCAUUUUUUUAAAGGAGAAGAAAUUGACAUUAUUUCUUGAAGUUUUUGCAUAAUUUUCUUCGCCACAGAAGAAAAAUCAUGACAGUUUUAGAGAAUUGCCGUUGAGUAGUUUUCCGUUUAACAAAUAAAGUAUGACAGGAAAUCUGCGACGUCGCAAACCGAGUUAUGUGAUUGCCGAUUACCGGGUCAAUAUUGUCACCAAUCUAGCCAGGCAUUGAAAAACCAACCAAUGAGAACCAAAAGUU